rnacentral:rRNA from 1 species
CAGUAGCCGCGGUAAUACGUAGGUCCCGAGCGUUGUCCGGAUUUAUUGGGCGUAAAGCGAGCGCAGGCGGUUAGAUAAGUCUGAAGUGAAAGGCAGUGGCUCAACCAUUAUAGGCUUUGGAAACUGUUUAACUUGAGUGCAGAAGGGGAGAGUGGAAUUCCAUGUGUAGCGGUGAAAUGCGUAGAUAUAUGGAGGAACACCGAUGGCGAAAGCGGCUCUCUGGCUUGUAACUGACGCUGAGGCUCGAAAGCGUGGGGAGCAAACAGGAUUAGAUACCCCCGUAGUCCCUGUCUCUUAUACA